rnacentral:rRNA from 1 species
UGUGCAGGCGGUUUGCCAAGUUCGUGGCGACAGCCAUCGGCUUAACCGAUGGAGGACUGCGAAAACUGGCAGACUUGAGAGCGAGAGAGGGACAUGGAACUCCGGGUGGAGCGGUGACAUGCGUAGAGAUCCGGAAGAACACCAACGGCGAAGGCAGUGUCCUGGCUCGUCUCUGACGCUCAAGCACGAAAGCUAGGGGAGCGAACA